GCCGGAGUGGUGAAACUGGUAGACACGCUGUGUUCAGGGCGCAGUGCUCUUAUGGGUGUGGGGGUUCGAAUCCCCCCUCCGGCA
rnacentral:tRNA from 2 species